rnacentral:rRNA from 1 species
GAUAAACGCUGGCGGCGUGCAUGAGACAUGCAAGUCGAACGAACGAGCUUGCUCGUUAGUGGCGGACGGCUGAGUAACGCGUAGGUGACCUGCCCCGAAGUGGGGGAUAACUGCCCGAAAGGGUGGCUAAUACCGCAUGUGGCGACACUUUCAUUGGUGUCAUCAAAGCCGCGAGGCGCUUCGGGAGGGGCCUGCGUCCGAUUAGCUCGUUGGUGGGGUAAUGGCUCACCAAGGCGACGAUCGGUAGGUGGUCUGAGAGGACGAUCACCCAGACUGGGACUGGGACACGGCCCAGACUCCUACGGGAGGCAGCAGUCGGGAAUUUUGCUCAAUGGGCGCAAGCCUGAAGCAGCAACGCCGCGUGCGGGAUGAAGGCCUUCGGGUUGUAAACCGCUUUUAUCAGGGACGAUGAUGACGGUACCUGAUGAAUAAGUCACGGCUAACUACGUGCCAGCCGCCGCGGUAAAAC